rnacentral:rRNA from 1 species
UACAGAGGUCUCAAGCGUUGUUCGGAUUCAUUGGGCGUAAAGGGUGCGUAGGUGGCGCUGUAAGUCGGGUGUGAAAUUUCGGAGCUUAACUCCGAAACUGCAUUCGAUACUGCGGUGCUUGAGGACUGGAGAGGAGACUGGAAUUCAUGGUGUAGCAGUGAAAUGCGUAGAGAUCAUGAGGAAGACCAGUGGCGAAGGCGGCUCACUGGCCCGAUACUGACGCUGAGGCACGAAAGCGUGGGGGAGCAAACAGG